CAGCUAUAAUUUACUUGAUCUUGACACAAUCCUACUUGGAUAACUGUGGUAAUUCUAGAGCUAAUACAUGCAUUAAAGCUCUGACCUCACGGGAAGAGUGCAUUUAUUAGAACAAAACCAAGCGGCUUCGGCUGUUUCUGGUUGACUCAUAGUAACUGAGCUGAUCGCAUGGUCUUGCACCGGCGACGUGUCUUUCAAGUAUCUGCCGUAUCAACUUUCGAUGGUAGUGUAUCUGACUACCAUGGUGAUCACGCGUAACGGAGAAUAAGGGUUCGGCUCCGGAGAGUUCGCCUGAGAAAUCGCGAACACAUCUAAGGAAGGCAGCAGGCGCGAAAAUUACCCACUCUCAGCACGAGGAGGUAGUGACGAAAAAUAACGAGACCGUUCUCUUAUGAGGCCGGUCAUCGGAAUGGGUACAAUUUAAACCCUUUAACGAGUAUCUAUGAGAGGGCAAGUCUGGUGCCAGCAGCCGCGGUAAUUCCAGCUCUCAAAGUGCAUAGAAUUAUUG
rnacentral:rRNA from 1 species